GGGGGUCUCGGGGGUCCUCUUCUUUGGCUGCAUCUGCCUCCCUCUACCUCCUGCAUCGACAAAGGCACUGGUCUAUCAUGAAGCUUCAGCCACCCAGACACAGGGGCCCCCAGACACAGAGGCCAGCAAGCGCAGCCGGCCAAGCCUCCCUGACCUCUCUCCACGUCCCCUACGCCACCAUCAACACCAACUACUUCUGCCCGGAAACUCUGGCCCGGGUCCUCCCGCCCCAGCCACUGCCCGGGUGGGCGCCGCC